GACGAACGCUGGCGGCGUGCCUAAUACAUGCAAGUAGAACGCACAGUUUAUACCGUAGCUUGCUACACCAUAAACUGUGAGUUGCGAACGGGUGAGUAACGCGUAGGUAACCUGCCUGGUAGCGGGGGAUAACUAUUGGAAACGAUAGCUAAUACCGCAUAAUAUUGAUUAUUGCAUGAUAAUUGAUUGAAAGAUGCUAUUGCAUCACUACCAGAUGGACCUGCGUUGUAUUAGCUAGUAGGUGAGGUAACGGCUCACCUAGGCGACGAUACAUAGCCGACCGGAGAGGAGGAUCGGCCACACUGGGACUGAGACACGGCCCAGACGCCUACGGGAGGCAGCAGUAGGGAAUCUUCGGCAAUGGACGAAAGUCUGACCGAGCAACGCCGCGUGAGUGAAGAAGGUUUUCGGAUCGUAAAGCUCUGUUGUAAGAGAAGAACGGGUGUGAGAGUGGAAAGUUCACACUGUGACGGUAUCUUACCAGAAAGGGACGGCUAACUACGUG
rnacentral:rRNA from 1 species